CAGGGAGACAACAAAAUGUUUAAUAUUAUUAUUUUGUCACCUUAGGUCGAUCGGUAUCUCACAUUCUUAAUUUAUUAAGGAUUUCAUUUCCUAAGUUUUUCUAGGUCACACCCAAUAUUUUUCCUGGGCCAUUAGCUCAGGUGGUUAGAGCGCACCCCUGAUAAGGGUGAGGUCCCUGGUUCAAGUCCAGGAUGGCCCAUAUCUCUAUGUUGGGGGUAUAGCUCAGUUGGUAGAGCGCCUGCUUUGCAAGCAGGAUGUCAGCGGUUCGAGUCCGCUUACCUCCACUGAUUACCACCUCUUCCAUAACCGGUAGAAAGGAAAUGUUUUGAGUAGUGAUCAAAUUCUGAAAGAAUCUAGCUUCCUAAUGAAAUCAUUAAGAUGCUGGACUCAUUGAAUUAAUUUCAUUGUUUUCAGAGAACCUUGACAACUGCAUAGAUUAUUUUUAAAGACAAUAAGCAUCUUUAAUGAUGCAGAUUUAUUAUUUGUGCGAAUGCAUUAAUAACAAUUCUAUUAAGCUGAUGCUUCAAUAUUUGAAGUUAUU
rnacentral:tRNA from 1 species